rnacentral:rRNA from 1 species
UACGUAGGGUGCAAGCGUUGUCCGGAAUUAUUGGGCGUAAAGAGCUCGUAGGCGGUUCGUCGCGUCGGCUGUGAAAACCCGAGGCUCAACCUCGGGCCUGCAGUCGAUACGGGCGGACUGGAGUUCGGCAGGGGAGACUGGAAUUCCUGGUGUAGCGGUGAGAUGCGCAGAUAUCAGGAGGAACACCGGUGGCGAAGGCGGGGUCUCUGGGCCGAUACUGACGCUGGAGGAGCGAAAGCGUGGGGGAGUGAACAGG